AAAGCCCUAAAAUUAUUUCACACCCGACAGAGCUCUGAAUAUCUUCUUCAAUGACGGAAGUACAGAUUGGGAAAACCUAUCCAGUAAAAUCAAGACUAAAACCAAAAUCAAAGAAACCCACAUCAACAACAGAAUCAAAAUACUGGAAAAAAUCAUACAAAACCACUCAAAUCCCCAACCUAAUUUACCCAAUCACAUCCAUCGAUUUCUCCCCUUUAACAAAUGAUUUCAUCACAACUUAUUCAGCUUCAGCAACACUCUACAGCUCACAAACCUUGGAACCCACUUCUAAAUUUACUUCCUUUAAUGAUAUAGCAUACUCUGCUAGUUACCGUCAUGAUGGGAAACUUGUUGCUUUUGGUGGUGAAUCAGGAGAUGUUCAAGUUUUUGAUCUUAAAACUCGAUCAGCACUUCGUCGAUUGAAAGGUCAUUAUCGUUCUGUUCGUUGUGUUAAGUAUCCCAAAUUUGAUAAUCUUCAUUUGUUUUCAGGAGGUGAUGAUACAUUUGUUAAGUAUUGGGAUGUGGCUUCUGAAACUGAGUUGCUUAGUUUCCAGGGUCAUAAAGAUUAUGUAAGGUCUGGGGCAUCGUCUCCUGUAAGUUCUGAUUUGUUUGUUACUGGUUCAUAUGAUCAUACAGUUAAGUUAUGGGAUACUAGGGUUUCGUCUAUGAAUUCUACUAUGAAUAUUAACCAUGGUAAGCCUGUUGAGGAUGUGAUAUUUUUACCAUUUGGUAGUUUAUUAGCUACUGCUGGUGGUAAUUCUGUCAAAAUUUGGGAUGUUACUAGUGGAGGGAAAUUAAUUUAUGCUAUGGAAAGUCAUAAUAAGACCGUGACUUCGAUUUGUGUUGGUAAAAUUUUGAAAGAUGGGAGUCCAGAGUCUGAUGAGAGUAGACUUUUAAGUGUUGGGUUAGAUGGGUAUAUGAAAGUGUUUGACUAUUCGGCUUUAAAGAUUACACAUUCCAUGAGGUAUCCUGCGCCGUUGUUGUCUGUUGGUGUUUCCAGUGAUUCGUCUGUGAGGGUUAUUGGUACUUCUAAUGGUGUUAUUUAUGCUGGUAAAAGGAAAAAGAAGGAUGUCAAUGGUGUUAGUGGAAAGGAGUUGGGGGAAUAUAGUAUUAGUUCCGCACCAGAGAAGCGAGCUUUGAGGCCGACCAAUUUCCGAUACUUUCAACGAAGUCAAAGCGAGAAACCUUCUCGAGGAGAUUACCUGAUUAAGAGACAAGCGAAAGUGAAGGUAACUGAACAUGACAAGCUUUUGAGGAAGUUUAGGCAUAAGGAAGCUUUGGUAACUGUGUUGAAUGGGAAGUCGCCACAUGAUAUGGUGGCAGUAAUGGAAGAAUUGGUUGCUAGGAAGAAGUUGUUAAAGUGCGUUUCUAAUCUGGACGAAGAUGAACUUGGUUUGUUAUUGAAUGUCUUGCAUAAGUAUUGUACCGUGCCUAGAUAUGCUGGUUUCUUAAUUGGAUUAACAAAGAGAGUUGCACAGAUGCGAGCUGAAGAUAUUAAAAGUUCUUAUCCUUUGAAGGGAUAUGUUCGGAAUAUUAAGCGUUCACUCAUGGAAGAAAUAAGUAUACAAAAUUCUUUGCAAGAGAUUCAAGGUAUUAUUUCGCCAUUGCUGAGGAGUGCAGAAAAAGCUUUUGGUAACUAGCCUGUUCAUUUCGUGAGGUACUUCUCUUGUUUCUGCAUCUGUUGCUAGAAAACAGUUUUGCAGAAUAAUAAGCAAUCACCCGGGAAAAGCAGGGAGUAUUAUGGUGGCAAGAUGGAAGUGGAGCUGUUUGUGCUGCAGUUGCCAGUUAUGUAUUCUCUCAUAGAAACUGUUAGAUAUCUGAGAUGGAUGUUAUGCUUGGUCUCGGAAUAUCCUUACAGGUGGAUGUGAGUGCUCAUUACGAUUUGUUAUGAGGUGUAGCUAAUAUCCACUGUUUCCCGACCCAACCAAAUUUAUUCUGUUCUUUACUAGUUGUUAAAUUUGUGCUGCAGUUGCCAGUUAUGUAUUCUCUCAUAGAAACUGUUAGAUAUCUGAGAUGGAUGUUAUGCUUGGUCUCGGAAUAUCCUUACAGGUGGAUGUGAGUGCUCAUUACGAUUUGUUAUGAGGUGUAGCUAAUAUCCACUGUUUCCAGACCCAACCAAAUUUAUUCUCUUCUGUUGUUAAAUUUCUCAGAUAACUCACUAAACUAGGGUUUCAUGUUUGACUCUGUUUGCUAACCCUUCAUCAAACUUGAAAGAUUAUUUGGCAUUUUGCA